UGUUAGCAGAGCAUGUUCAUAGUUAAUGUGAUUUUCUUUUUUAUCUUUUUUUUAAUGCUUAUGGUUACUCUGCUGGAGUAAGCAUAGCCACUAAAAAUCACCUUGAGACCAGUGCUCUGUGGGCUUGUGCUGCAUUCCCAGGCUGCGUGUUGCUGACGGCGUUCUGAUGCUGCUGUGUUCUUCUCCAGGAGGAUUAGACACUUCCUGAAUUACAUGUUGUCGGUCAUGAGGAGAUUUGUUUGCAUCUGAAUACUCUCAUGUUCAGAACGAGCAAUAAGAUGGGAGACUUUAUCAGAACUGGCCACUAAUUAACAGAAAUCACAGUAACUAUUGCAUAGAGGGAUCUUGUUAAAUCGAAAAGCGGAGUGAUCAGAGUGGCAAAGUGCUAAUUAAGCUCUGAAUGGGGGGCUGCAUCAACAGAGCACAGGGAUGAUCCUUCGCUGUCUGUUUACAUCGCUGCGGUGCAUUCUGGGAGGUCACCCCACAACCUGGGGCAGGCGUACUAUUCUGGUGCUCCGGGAAAAAAAAUGUGUAAGACAGAUAAAACCAGCACAUCUAAAUCCCUUUGGCUCUGUGUUUACGGACACAGACGGCUUUAUCUACACUAAUGUCAUCAACAUUUAAAGCAGGAAAUUUUAUUUCCAAGAACUGAAACAUUUCCACACAAUAUGAGGAUGCUGAGUAAUUUGUUGCUCUCUUUAAUGUCUCAUUUGUUUCAUUUAGACAGAAAUAUGACAACUGAGUCUGAAAUUUUUCUCCUCCUCUAGAGUUUCAAAAGAGAUCUCAAAAACUGUGCACAGA